rnacentral:rRNA from 1 species
AGGUGGUGCAUGGUUGUCGUCAGCUCGUGUCGUGAGAUGUUGGGUUAAGUCCCACAACGAGCGCAACCCUUGUGCCUAGUUGCUAACUUGUUUUACAAGUGCACUCUAGGCAGACUGCCGCAGAUAAUGCGGAGGAAGGUGGGGAUGACGUCAAAUCAUCAUGCCCCUUACGUCCCGGGCUACACACGUGCUACAAUGGUCUGUACAGAGGGUCGCAAAAGAGCAAUCUUAAGCCAAUCCCAAAAAGCAGGCCUCAGUUCGGAUUGGAGGCUGCAACUCGCCUCCAUGAAGUAGGAAUCGCUAGUAAUCGCGGAUCAGCAUGCCGCGGUGAAUACGUUCCCGGGCCUUGUACACACCGCCCGUCACACCACGAAAGUUGGCGAUACCUGAAGUUACUAGGCUAACCCCGUAAGGGGAGGCAGGUACCGAAGGUAUGGCUAGCG